AAAGGUAUAUAGGUUUUAUUAGAAAGGAUGAUUUUGAAAAUGAAAUGAUGAAUUACAGUUUCUAACAUUAUAAAUAGUAUAUAAAAUAAUGUAGUUAGCAAUCAUAUAAACAUUGUUUUGUUUCUCAACUUUUAUAACAUUUUAAUGUCAAUUCUCAAAAUAACAGCACUUUUAAAUUAAGCUUCUAUAAAAUGUCAAUCUUUUGAACUGGUGUAAAUUAGAAAAACCUUUCUUCAAAGUUGACAGAUUUCUUAUCUAUAUGCCUAUGGUAGAAGAAAACAAAUAUCAAUCAAAAUAAAGGAUUCAAUCAAUGCUCAUCAAACCUAAAUUCAAAACAAUUGCAAAUCUAUUAUCUCAAUUAUUGCAUUAUCUUGUAAAAUGUUACAUGAUUCAUACCAUGAUUUUUUUUAGAAUUUCAAAGGAAUGUUUUAUCUUUUUUCAUGUUCUCAUACAGACUGUUCUUAAAAUUAGGUUUAACAGAUAUCAUUAGUUAAACUUUUUGUUAUUUGUUCCAAAAGAUAUAACAGCCAAAUCACAACUCUUGUGAAAUAAACAAAAUCAUAUAUGACUUGAUAAAUAACAACAUCAUGUCUGUAUCAAACAUUAUGAUUAUUAACAAUGCUCUCUUUUUAACAUACAUUUAAUCAACAUUUCACAUACACUAAUACAUGUAUACAUAUUGCAAUAAACAACAUUAUGCACCACACUGUGCAGGAUAAUAGUCUGAUUAUGAUUAUAAAAAAAAUCUAGUCUACUUGAGCAUUACAUUAAAUAAUACACAACCUUCACAAACAAAGGGAUCCCAAUAUACAGGGAACUUCAGCUUCAAAACUAAGAAGUAGUAACAAACAUAAAGCUACAAACUGUAUACACAGUAAUUUUCUGUUUUACACAUUUCUCAUGUUUCUACAUGACACAUGUAUGCAACUAUUGUUUGUGAGCAUUUACAAGAUAUGGGAUUUCAUACAAAAUAAAAAUUUAAUUAAUUUUAACAAAACUGUUAUAGCUGAUGUUUCUAUUGAAAAACAGAUGAAAGACAUUUUAGCAAAAAAUUUAAGCUGCUACAGAAUAUUUAAGCGACAAUAUUAUGGCCAAUUUUAGCGCCAGAUUAAUCCAUCCACCUGUAUUUUUGACAGCCAAUUUUUACAAAAGGGUCAUCAAACUAAAAUAAUUUAUGCAGGUAUAGAACUUUAUCAUUCAUUUCUAUACAACUAUUUAUACAUGUAUAAAGAAUACUCAAGUUAUGGAAUGGUGUAAACAGUUUACAGCAUAAGAAAAAUAUUUAAAAAAAUACAACUUGUGUGCAGAUAUAUCCAUACUUAAUGUUACUAAAUGUGUACCUAUUUCUAGUUUAGAAGGGUGGAUGUCAAAGUAUCAUGAUGGACAGGGAGCACAAAUUGUACAAUGUCUUCUUAUCUUCCUCUUUAAAUAAAAAAAAAAAACAUUUUUUUUGUUUAAUUAAAUUUAAAUUGUCAUAUGAAAAUCAGUAGCAGCUAUAUGAUGGACAAAGUGUACCCGGCACACACGGAGAUACUUCAAAAUAAGUAAAAAAAAUAAUAAUACUCAGAUAUGCUGAGAAUUAGUGUAAUUACAACUGUAUUCUUACUCAUAAUCCAUAACUAAUCUGAACACAAAUAUGAUGUACUGUAAAAGUCAUAAAAUAAAUAUUUACAUAAAUGUGUACAACUUUUUAUAUAAUAAUGACAUAAUCUAUAUCACCAUCACAUCUGAAACUAUGAUUUUGUUGAUUUUCUUUAUAAAUUAUUAAUACUUUACAGGGUAAGAACGAAGUUAAAUGAUUAUAUUUUACCCAUUCUUAGCUAUGUCUUGGAUAUAACUUGUCUUUUAUUCACUGCAUAAAUCUAGAUUGAAGUCUCACACAAAUUUAAAUUCUAAAUCCCUUUCAAAAACAUCAAAUACAGGAAAUGUGUAAAAUGAAGUAAGCAUUGAAUAUUAAAUGGAAUGAUUGUAAGAUUUUAAAACACCCUUCUUCUCCUUAAGUGUGUUUAAAAUAAAAAAAAACUAUGUACACAACAUUAAUACUGCUUACAUAGAUAAUAAUAUAGGAUGAUUAAUGAGUUUCUAUUUUGACAUAUCCAACAGAAUGAGUUUGACAACUGUAGUUUGUGAUGGUAAAUAGUGAGGAUAACCCCCCUUUUUAUUUUACAAUCAAUGCUUUUGAAUAGGGACAUAUGGUUGGAACCCCCCUUUAACCUGGGGAUAAAGUUAAUGUUCAGAUAAUUUUGGCAACAUUUUGUUUUACUUAUCAUCUGUUAUAUGCAAAAGCUGGAUUAGGGGUGGGUGAAGGGGGCUUUUGUAGCUAUAUAGAUAGUCAAUCCAUAGACUUUUUAAAAUUCCAGACCCUAACAUUGCUUUGGUGGUGGGCACCCUCUUUUUCAAAAUCCUGGAUCAGCAUCUGAGAUAGAUCUUAUUUUGAAAACCUACAAUAGUAUAUGACAAAGAAAUGACAUGUCUAAGGAAACAAAUUUUUCCUCGUGUAAACAUUAGACAAAGUAGAAAUUUUGAUUGGAAUUAACAUACAAUUAACAUACAGGUAAUCACAACACUAUAAAUAUCUAACAAUAUCAACAACAGUAUACGUACAAAGGCACUAUUGUUAUUAUGGUAUGUAAGAAAUUAUUGUACAAACCAUAUAUAAAACACUUUGAAUAUAAACUUAAAAUUUCAGAGAAUUAUAGUUACACCUAUUUGAAUAAAGAAUGUGAUUAUAUUAAAGUUUACAAUUGUGUACACAAAUCACAAGAGCAA
rnacentral:lncRNA from 1 species